UAUUAUACUAGCUAUUACGUUAUUUUCUACGAACUUUGAGAUUAAGUUUGUUAGGAGACAAACGAAUAUGAUUGUUCAUACUUUUGUUAGGUCGGUAAUUUUUUGGGUUAGUUUCUAUAAUUUUGAGAUUUUUCCCUUUUGAAUCUAUCAUGUGUGUUUCACAAACUUUCAUAGAGAUUAGUCGUCGCCACUAAAAGACCGUAGAAAUUAUCUAAUCCUUUAUGGACUUGAAAUCUGAAUAAUUGGUUGGUGAUAAGUUGUUGUGUAAAGAAUGUUGGUGGUUGAAUCUCGUCACACAUUCCGAAGAUCAAGUUAGUAAACACUGAAAGUGAUGAGAGAUAUAUUUAAGGUUAUAUAUUACAUAUGUAGUCUUUUUGCAAACUUAUAUAAAGAAAGAAUUAUAGUUUAUAUGAUUCGUUUGGAUUAGCUUAUUUUUGAACUUUAUGCAAAACAACUUACGUAAAUAAAUAAAUUUUUAUGUAUUAUUAUAAGUUUGUCAAG
rnacentral:lncRNA from 1 species